rnacentral:rRNA from 1 species
CGAACGAACUGAAACAUCUAAGUACCCCGAGGAAAAGAAAUCAACCGAGAUUCCCCCAGUAGCGGCGAGCGAACGGGGAGGAGCCCAGAGCCUGAAUCAGCAUGUGUGUUAGUGGAAGCGUCUGGAAAGGCGCGCGAUACAGGGUGACAGCCCCGUACACAAAAGCGCAUGUGCUGUGAGCUCGAUGAGUAGGGCGGGAC